UACGUAGGGGGCAAGCGUUGUCCGGAUUUACUGGGCGUAAAGAGCGCGUAGGCGGAAGCUUAAGCGGUGCCUGAAAGCCCCCGGCUCAACCGGGGAGGGUGGUGCCGAACUGGGCUUCUUGAGGGCGAUAGAGGAGAGUGGAAUUCCGGGUGUAGCGGUGAAAUGCGUAGAGAUCCGGAGGAACACCAGUGGCGCAGGCGGCUCUCUGGGACGGUACUGACGCUAAGGCGCGAAAGCGUGGGGAGCGAACAGG
rnacentral:rRNA from 1 species